UUAUCUCAGUAACGGCGAGUGUAAGCGCGUAACAGCUCAAAUUUGAAAUCUGGCCUCACGGUCCGAGUUGUAAUUUGUAGAGGAUGCUUCGAGCAUGGUCUGGCCUAAGUUCCUUGGAACAGGACGUCAUAGAGGGUGAGAAUCCCGUAUGCGGCCAGGUGCCUACGCUCAUGUGAAGCUCCUUCGACGAGUCGAGUUGUUUGGGAAUGCAGCUCAAAAUGGGUGGUAAAUUUCAUCUAAAGCUAAAUAUUGGCCAGAGACCGAUAGCGCACAAGUAGAGUGAUCGAAAGAUGAAAAGCACUUUGGAAAGAGAGUUAAACAGUACGUGAAAUUGUUGAAAGGGAAGCGCUUGCAACCAGACUUGCGCGCGGCCGAUCAUCCGGUGUUCUCACCGGUGCACUCGGCCGUGCUCAGGCCAGCAUCGGUUUUGGCGGCUGGAUAAAGGCCCUAGGAAUGUGGCUCCUCUCGGGGAGUGUUAUAGCCUAGGGUGCAAUGCAGCCUGCUGGGACCGAGGACCGCGCUUCGGCUAGGAUGCUGGCGUAAUGGUUGUAAGCGGCCCGUCUUGAAACACGGACCAAGGAGUCUAACAUCUAUGCGAGUGUUUGGGUGUCAAACCCAUACGCGUAAUGAAAGUGAACGGAGGUGAGAACCCUUAAGGGUGCAUCAUCGACCGAUCCUGAUGUCUUCGGAAGGAUUUGAGUAAGAGCAUAGCUGUUGGGACCCGAAAGAUGGUGAACUAUGCCUGAAUAGGGUGAAGCCAGAGGAAACUCUGGUGGAGGCUCGCAGCGGUUCUGACGUGCAAAUCGAUCGUCAAAUUUGGGUAUAGGGGCGAAAGACUAAUCGAACCAUUGACCUGUAGGAACACUACUAGGUGGUUAAGAGGCGGCUAAAAGUGCCGUCUAGUCCCGACGUCGGGGCGACACUGUCAAAUUGCGGGAACAUUCCUUUAGAGUCUAGACUACUCGCAGCCUUUCCUCGAAAGGGGGGGGUGCUGUCUACUAGGCUACUGAUCUUCGGGUAUGGUUAAUAACUGUCUAGGCAUUUGGAAUAAUCUGGCAGGCCUAGGCUCAUACGACGUCGUCUUAUGGAUGCUAGGUCAUUCGGACCUAGGAA
rnacentral:rRNA from 1 species